GUAAGGAUGCGUAGGCGGAUAAUCAAGUCAAAAGUGAAAUCCCACGGAAAAACCGUGGAACUGCUUUCGAAACUGGUUAUCUAGAAUAUGGAAGAGGCAGAUGGAAUUAGUGGUGUAGGGGUAAAAUCCGUAGAGAUCACUAGGAAUACCGAUUGCGAAGGCGAUCUGCUGGGACAUUAUUGACGCUGAGGCAUGAAAGCGUGGGGAGCAAACAGGAUUAGAUACCCUGGUAGUCCACGCCCUAAACGAUGUACACUAGUUGUUGCGAUGCUCGUCAUUGCAGUAAUACAGUUAACACAUUAAGUGUACCGCCUGGGGAGUACGGUCGCAAGAUUAAAACUCAAAGGAAUAGACGGGGACCCGCACAAGCGGUGGAGCAUGUGGUUUAAUUCGAAGAUACGCGAAGAACCUUACCUAGACUUGAAAUCCUUGGAAUCUUUCAGAGAUGAGAGAGUGCUAGUUUACUAGAACCAAGUGACAGGUGCUGCACGGCUGUCGUCAGCUCGUGUCGUGAGAUGUUGGGUUAAGUCCCGCAACGAGCGCAACCCUCGUGAUUAGUUGCUAACAGUUCGGCUGAGCACUCUAAUCAGACUGCCUUCGUAAGGAGGAGGAAGGUGAGGACGACGUCAAGUCAUCAUGGCCCUUAUGUCUAGGGCUACACACGUGCUACAAUGGUUGGGACAAAGAGCAGCGAUACCGCGAGGUGGAGCAAAUCUUAAAACCCAAUCUCAGUUCGGAUAGGAGUCUGCAACUCGACUCCUUGAAGCUGGAAUCGCUAGUAAUCGUAGAUCAGCAAUGCUACGGUGAAUACGUU
rnacentral:rRNA from 1 species